AAGAGCCCUGGGGAUUUCCCCAGAAACGUCCAGCAUUUAGCAGAUUUUAUACCUAGGGGAACUGAGACUCAAAACUUACAGAGCAAGGUUGCCAUUCAAUCCAAAAGCAUCAAAGAUCUCCACCAUCUAGUCUCAUUCUCUGCUCCCUAGCAUCUCCGGUCUCCCCCAAACUCUAGUCCCUAGACUGACUUAUCUUCCCCCAAGCCCUAGCCUUCUGGGAUCACGGGAUCAACAGGAUUUGAGGACAUCAUUCAGGCUAUGGGCCCAGCUUGUAGAAGGGGCAGUAAGAGAAGAACCUGAGCCAGCUUCUGCACCAGCUCCUGCUCUCCACCCCUUAGGGGACUCAUCCCUGCACUGCAGAGGUGACAUCACAGCCUCCAAGAGCUCUGGGAACGCCCACUUCCUGCAGGUUGUGAAGCUGAAACCCUCCCUUCUCCCAAUAGGGACACCUUAAUUCAUUAUCCCUACCUUUAACCAGAGAAGGCUGUUUCUGGCUCUAGCUAAGUCAGUCUUGCCAAAGCUCCACCCAUCCACAGUCUCUCCUACAGGGUGAAAAGGACCAGUCUCCCUGUCUUAGAGAACCUUCCCCAAGGUCCUAGAGAGCCUGGGCCCCUGCUGCAGCAGUUCACAACCCCCCUCUCUCCUGGCCCUAUCACUGAUGUAGAACCUAACACCAGGGUGGGGUGGGGUGGGGCUCUCUCCACUUUGUCUGGAAGGGAAACACCUGAAUCAUUUCUACCUUCCUCUCCCACACCUGCCAUACCACAGGUGCAAUGAGCAAAAAAAAUAUCGUUGACAUCUCAAAUCAGGCCAGUCACUGCAGGUAACAGGCUAUACUUCCUCCUCAAAGCACUUGAAGGUAAGUAAGCCUCAGACUGAAAGCCUCCUGAGAGUAGAGACCAUGCUUCUGAAUCACUUCUUUGUGAUUAAUGCGGCUCCCACACAAGAAGGUACCUAAUGAAUCUUUUUUUAAGAGAAUAUAUCAAUGAACAAGUGGAUUCAUAUGUAAAUGAAUGAAUGAAUGAUCUAGACAACUAAGGACUUAAAAACAAACAAACAAACCCCUCUUGUUAUAAUGAGGAAAUAAGGUUUAGGAAGGAUGGCAACCUAGAAAGGGCCUCCCAGAUGUUCCAUGGUAGAAUUGGAGCCAUCCUUCCCGAGAUGGUUCCUUCCUGGCCCUGGAAGCUUAGAGCAACUGAGCAGCAUAGAAGGCUGGAUGGGCAAGAUGCAGGCUGAGGCCCAGGCAGAUGGAGCCUCUGCCCAGAAGGAAGCACUUUCCUGGAAUUAUUCUGCCUCCAGGUGGAGAAAUACAGAAGCCUAAUUGGCUUUCUCGGAUCCUGGAGCUGGGUUCAUAAAUCACGGCUCCAUUGAAGAUACAGACGCCUUGUCUCUGGAGACCUGGGUGUGACUUGGUGCAGACUCCUAGUGACAUGAAGAGGCUUACAGCCUCCAUGUGUAGGUGCCUAAGUCACCCCUGCCCAGAGUAGAACACGCCACUCUCUCGACAAGGUCCACUAGUCAGCUGUGGUACACUGCUCAGUACUCCAUGCUCAAGUACUCAGGCACCCAAGGGAGAAGCUGGUAGAGGAGAGGUCCAGGAAUGCAGAGUGGGAGUGUGGCGAAGGUCCAAAAAGCCUUCCUUUUCUAAAUUCAAUCCUAUUCACCAUUUAUUGAGGGCCUACCCUGUGCCAGAUACUGUGCUGGGCUCUGGGGACCCUGGGUGGGGUGGGGGGAUGGCUCCAAUGCAGAGGAGAGAGAGGGAAGAGGCAGCUACGGAGACAAUCCUCACAACAUGGGUGAUAAGUGCUUUAGAGAGAAGUACAAAGUGCUCUGGGAGCUCAGAGCAGCGGGCCAUUCAUUCUUCCGCUGCUGGAAGAGUUCGGAAAACUGAACUGGGAGGGGCUGUUUUGGCUAGGUUUGGUGGGCUUUGAGGUAGGAGGUGGAGGGAAGGACACAUCAUGCAGAGAGGGGCAUGUGCAGAGACAGGGGCGAAGGAGAAAACCUUGAUAUGGUGUAGCAGAUGGGGAGGCAGGAGGAUCGCUGGACAGCAAGCUGCAGGCCAGAAUCAGAAAGGCCAUGAAUGAUCGUACUAGAGUGCCUGGACCUAGUCCAGCCGUGGGCAAAAGGGGAGCCAUUGAAGAAUUUUAAGCAGGGGCUGUGUUCCCCUUGGGGAGGAGGGCUGCUUCCUCCAUUCUCUGGUCCGGCCAAGGGCUUCUGCAUUCACAAAGCUGAACCUACAGGGUCUGAGUGACGGCGAACAGCUCCAACGGUUCUGAUUCCUUCUGUGAGCCUGUGCUGGCGACUUCUCUCUGCUCAAUCCACAAGCCCCAUGGAGUGGGAGCCCCUCUGAGGCCAAUCUCCCCUCCCAUUGGAAGGAUAUGAGAACCACACACAUGGCUUUCCCUUUAGAGAGGACAUGAUUCCUUGGAAGCCUGGUUGUUCCUGGAAGUCCAAGCAAACCCUCUCCUGGGAGGAAACCAUCAGAGUUCAUUUGGAAGCCAGAUAAAGAGGCAGACAUUGAGACAGACAGCAAGAGACAGACGAGAGACAGGCAGAAAAUGGAUUUUGAAGUGCCGUUGAGCCAAUGAUUGUGGUCAAAUCCUGUUGAGAGACAAGCUGCAUGAAUAUAUGUGCACCACAUACCUGCAGGAGUCCAAGGAGGCAAGAAGGCAUUCAAUCCUCCAGAACUGGAGUUGAAGGCUGUUGCAAGCACAUAUGGGAACUGAACCCUGGCCUUUGCAAGAGAUCCUCUGCAUGCAUUUAACUGUUGGGCCAUCUUUCCAGUCCAAGAACAGAACACCUCUGUUCCUCACAGGCCUCCUGGCCUGUCUCAUCUUCUUGAACCAGGACAGCCCACGUUGGCAGUGACAAUCAGAAUGUCAAAGUGUCUCUGAGGAUCCCUAGGAAAUCUGAGGCACUUUACAAAGAGCCCGCCCUGGGUGAAAGACCAGCUGGAAUGAAUCGUUAAUAUACUUCACUAGAAGGGGACUCUUCCAAAAUGCUAAUCCAAUCAACCCACAAGGCAAACUUCAGGCUUCUUGUUCAGUGAUCACACAGACGAUCUCAGGGCUAGGGCUCUGCUCUGGGGAGGCCAGAGGCCCUGUUCCUCAAACCAAGGAGAAGCCACACGCCCAAUAUGUCACAUAUUGCUGCUGAAAGUGGAGCCUGUGGGCCCGUAGGUACCUCCUGUCACAAUCAUCCAGGACAACAUAGACUGACUGCAGCCACCUGGGCUCUGGAGGGGAGCCCUCACAUCUUUGGAGAAGGCAUCACCAGGAAAGCACAUGUGUGAGAAACGAACUGUCUGAAGAAGUAAGGAACUGCCCAAACCCAGCAUUUGCUCCAGAGAGUACCUCAAAGGGUCCUCAGCCAUCCAUUGAUCUCUACACUCCUAUCUGAAUCCUUAUUAACAGAUGAGACAUGCUCAAAAAAUAUAAAAUAUCAAGGUUAGCUAGAGAGGCAAAGAUCGAGGCCAGGGCUAGCGUCCCAUCAAAUCUCUAGCCACACCCUUUGCUCAUGGGCUUUUCUCUUGCAUGGUCCUCUCCCUCUUCUCUCCCCGGAAAGGCCCAGUUCAUGGGUCACCCUCCAGUGAAAGUUCCAGGAAUAAGUACUCUCCGUCUGCUUCAGAGAAAUGGGUUGAUGGAGUGAAAGACCAAAGGCUCCGAGUGCUCUUGUUCAGGUUUUUUGUUUUGUUUGUUUAGAUUUAUUGAUGUGUAUGGUGUUUUGCUCCCAUGCAUGUCUAUGUGCCACAUGCAAGCCUGGUGCCCAUGGAGGUCAGAAAAGGGUGUCAGAUCUCAGGGAACUGGAACUGAAUCCAGGUCCUCUGGAAGAGCAGACGAUGCUCUUAAUCACUGAGCCGUCUCUCUAGCCCCUUUGCUUGUGUUAAUGUUAGAAUCGUAUCAUAUUGUGUGUUGGUUACACUUUCCUUCUGUCCCCCUUCCCCGCCCAUAAGCAGGCCAUUCCCAUUUGUCAUUCUGGUCUGGGUUUAGAAGUCACUUCUGCCUUGCUUGCCACAACAUCCCCAGCUCGGCCAUGGGACUGUGUGCAUCUAUGGACGGAUGGUGCCCCGGAGGGUUUCAACAGAACACGACAGUGUUUGGCAACUGUGCCCUUGAUGGCAUCUGACGCCAUAUAGGCACAGUAUCUAUCUGGUGAUUACAGAGAUGAUGCCGGGGCUCAGAAGUUCCCAGGUGCCUGUGCUCGGUGAUCCCCAUUGCUGCUCUUGGCCCCUCCAGAUGCACAAAGCAAAGGAUUCGCUGGCCCUCUGGAUAGAAACUCUGGUGCUUUUCAGCUGUGUGAGCAUGGGUGACUUGCUUGGUCUCUCUGAGCUCCACUUCCUUCAUCUGUAAGACAAGAAUGGCCACCAGAGCUCCCACCUUCACAGGAAGAUCACUACUCUGGCAAGGAAACACAAGGCACGUAUCUGGUACACUGGGGUUGGGGCAGAAAAAUCCGAUACUGUUAUCUUGUCAUCUUAUUUUGCCAGUGAGUUGAUUUCAUGGCUAGUGUGUGUGUGUGUGUGUGUGUGUGUGUGUGUGUGUGUGUGUGUGAAUGCGCGCGCGCGUCGGAGGGAUGUAUCUAGUGUCUGACAGAGUCAGAGUCUGUGUUCUUCCUGAAGUCCAGGCUCGACAUGGUCACAGCUCUGUUCCUAUCUCAGGCUGGGGACUGGCCCCUCCUCUACUGAAGGAGGGAUCUCCUCCUCAUGGUCCCUCCUAACCUCCCUAGCUUCCCAAGCAAGUGAUGCUCUGUUUCUCACAAGUCCCACUACUCUCUGAGUCAUUGCCUGCAAAGCAUCCUUUCCUGCCCUCUGGGGUCUGGGAAAUGCAGUCCUUACAUAAUGAAAGAGGGCCCAGAGCUCUCGGGGCCGGGUAGCUACUCAGGCCGGCUCAGUCCCCCACAGGCAGACAGAACCCUGAUCUGACUGUGAGACAUGACGGCAUGCUGGGUGGCUUCAGCAAGCUUCGCUUUACCUGUCUGUAACUAGAGAUGGUGGCUGAUCCUUGGGGACAUCCUACUGGCCUGGGUUUUAUUCCUAAGUGGGCAUCACCUGCCCUCGUUCUUGUGUAUCCAAGGAGCUGUCAGUGUCCUGGAAGUGUGGCAGUCAUCUCGACUCUGUCCUAUAUGGAAGGUGGUCCUAUAGGGGUAGGCUGGGGUUUUAUGGGAGAGGAAAGGACCCCUGACUCCCUACCUCCCACUAUUUUUUUUUCCAGGAGCAGAUCUGGGGCCCCCACCUCCAUCCAGGUGCCCAGAGGCCUGAGAAGCUGUCGAAAGCACUGAACCUAAUGUGUAUAACUGCAGGAGAUGCCAGCCAUCUCCUCCAGAUGCAGGCUAAAAAUACAGAGGAGUGAGGUCCCUCAGUAAUGGAGACUUUAAGAGCCUGUGACAUGCGGCGACGGCUGUGCGGCCACUAAUGAGCUCCUAGCCGAUCGAUGCCCAAGACCCAAGUGAGCGUGUGGGCCGGGAGCAGAGACGGGGUGUCACUCGUCAUUUGUCCGUCCUGGCUCAGAAACCUGGAAUGUUGGUGUGGGCCAGGAGACUGGGGAUCAGCUUGAGUGACCCCUUAGCAUACAAACGGGGAGACUGAGGCCAAGCGACAGGAAGUAGGAAGACAUGUCCUGGAGAGCCGAGGCUUCAAGGGACCUUAACCAGAUCUUGCUUCUUUCCUUCCCUGCCCCACCCCCAGAUUUCUAUUUCAAAGGCCAGCACAGAGCUUUAUAGACCCUGCAAAUGGAUGAGAAUUGAGCACUGAAUAAAUGAAUGAAUGAAUGAAUGAAUAUUUGCCCCACUGCAAUGUGGGAUCCCCUAGUGCAAGGGACUACAAGCUAGACUUCCUAUUGCCCCAGGAGUACCCAGCACCAAGAAGAUACUCAGAAAGGAUUUGCUGCAUGAAUGAAUAUACCCCUUUCUGCCCGUGAAGACAAGGAAGUCUGUGAAAAUCGUGUCCAAGGUCUAUUUUCACUGGUCCUACCACUCAAAGAGGGUAGCCAUGCCCGCCGGAGAGAGUACCUGACAGCACAGUACAGCAGGCGUUGCCUGAACUUGUUGCAGGCACAGUACUGAGUUUUACACAAAUCAUCUCAGUCCUCCUAUCAACUCUAUGCUUAAGCUCAAUUUUUAUACCCAUUUUAUACAGGGGAAAGCUAACAGAGCUCACAGAGGUUGUGUUCCUAGUCCUGCAUCGGGCCUAGAAAGAUAUCGAGCCAGGAUUCAAACUCAUGCCAGCCUGUGGCUCCCUAACCACUGCACUACCCCUGCUUCUCUAUGGUACAGCAGGAAAGGACAGGAGAAUUGUGGCCCAGAGAAAUCCAUGCAAGAUAGAAGGGAUGAAAAAGAAAAAGAAAAAAAAACACCUCCAGGGCUCAUAAAGUGUUUGAUAAAUUCCAGGAGAAGAAUAGGAAGAAAUAAUGAGCAUUUGUCAGAGUCUUUUAUAGCAUGUAAGUCGCUUUUCCCCACGUCCUCUCAUCUGAUCUUCACUGCAGGCCUGGGAGGAAGGUAUUAUCAUUAUCUACAUUUUAUUGGUGAGGAAAGGAAGGCACUCACACCUCCCAGCCUGAGCGGGCAGGCUGUGCACCUGGGGGGCGGGGCAGCGGUGCGGCGGCGGCCGUGAAGGCUGUCAGAACCUCACCCCCAGCUGUCACUGGCUCACAGGGUGAGCUGCAGGCUGAGGCUCCUGCCUGCUCGUUAGAACCACAGGGGAUGGGCCAGCCGGAGACCACCUCUUCCAGAGCGGUAGAGAGAGCACAGUGGCCCUUUCUGGGCCAGGCCCUCACUUCCGGCUGGAGCUCCCCAUUCUUUUGGCAUUAGCCCACAACUCCGAGUUUGGCAGGGGGGAAAUCAACUCUGGGGGAAGAGUUUAAUUAAGCUGAAGCACGGUGGCUCACGUUUGUGAUCCCAGCAAUCUGAAGGCAGAGGCAGGAGGAUUGCUGCAAGUUAGGGUUAUGUAGGGAGUUCUGGGCCAGCCAAGGUUACAUAGCAAGACUCUGUCUCAAGAACACAAAACAAAGCAAACCAGAAAGGAGCUUGCUCAAGAAGCGAAAGUGUGGUGGUUUAAGCACAGAAACCGUGUUUGGAAGGAGACCAGAGCCCACCACACUCUUCCGUCUCCUCUGGCUCCCAGGUCCUCUGACAGAAAUUUAACCCUUUGAACGUGUGGCCAAGGUUGGGCAGAGAAUAAAUAUGGUGACACCCCUCUGAAUGUUCUCACAAGAACCCUAAGUUCAGAUCUGCCAUAAUGGAGAGUUGCUGCAGGGCUCCUGUUCUGCACCCAGUCCCGUAUCUCAAAAGGGGGCAGGAGUGCCAGGAAGUGGCUGCCUGCACCCUGGCGCGUCCUCAUUUUGCUAUAGGAUUGAUCUCAUUCUGCAAAAGUUUUACCAUCUGCACGUUCUUUAUCAAUUCAGACGGGUGCAUCAAAAAGACAACAACAGCAAAAACCCACCAAAAAAAAUUAAAAAAAAGCCCAAGCCGUGUAUGGUGAUAUAUGACUCUAAUCCCAUAACUUGGAAGAUAGAGCUUCAGGCCAGCCAGGGAUACAUAGUGAGAUCUUGUCUCAAAAUAACAACAAAACUCAGAUAUAUGCAAAAAUGAGAACCUAGAUUUUAUGCAAUUGCAUCUUUUUUUUUUCGUUUUGUAGUCCUGUGAUUGAACGGGGAAACCCAGAGGAAGACUACUCCUGCAGGAUUCAGACUGGCUGUCUGUACAGAUGAGCCCGGCUGCAUGCCAGGUGCUGGGCUAGGAUUUGAAACUGAAAUGCUGGGCUAGCCUGUCCCCGAUGUCAGGCAUUUCAGGCCCAGAGGAUACACGAAUGAUCUCCACAAGACGUCGGUAGAGGCCCUCAUCCACAGCUGUAGAGGGAGGUGGUAGUAGAGGCCGAUGAGAUGGCCAUGUCAAACUUCAACUCUGGGUCAAACUGCAGUGUGAACUCUGCUCCUUUGAGCUGGUGACUUUGGACAAGCUGCUUGGCCUCUUCGUGACUCGGUUUCCUUACAUGUGAAAUCAGAAUAAUGAUGCCAACUUUCCCGUCAUGGGGCUGUAAGGACUGAGUUAAUUCACAUGAUGUUCUUAGAACAGUUCCUGGUCAACAGUAGAAUGUAUGAUGUGUCAACUGUCACUGUUUUUUCCUUAUAAGUCGUAAGACUUAGAUACGGGAAAACAUUUGGGCAGCACUUAGCCCAGAGUAAGCGCUCAAUAAAGAUAAGCUGCUAUGA